rnacentral:rRNA from 1 species
GAUGAACGCUGGCGGCGUGCCUAAUACAUGCCAGUCGAGCGAACGGACGAGAAGCUUGCUUCUCUGAUGUUAGCGGCGGACGGGUGAGUAACACGUGGAUAACCUACCUAUAAGACUGGGAUAACUUCGGGAAACCGGAGCUAAUACCGGAUGAUAUUUUGAACCGCAUGGUUCAAAAGUGAAAGACGGUCUUGCUGUCACUUAUAGAUGGAUCCGCGCUGCAUUAGCUAGUUGGUAAGGUAACGGCUUACCAAGGCAACGAUGCAUAGCCGACCUGAGAGGGUGAUCGGCCACACUGGAACUGAGACACGGUCCAGACUCCUACGGGAGGCAGCAGUAGGGAAUCUUCCGCAGUGGGCGAAAGCCUGACGGAGCAACGCCGCGUGAGUGAUGAAGGUCUUCGGAUCGUAAAACUCUGUUAUUAGGGAAGAACAUAUGUGUAAGUAACUGUGCACAUCUUGACGGUACCUAAUCAGAAAGCCACGGCUAACUACGUG